rnacentral:rRNA from 1 species
CCUACGGGUGGCAGCAGUGGGGAAUAUUGCGCAAUGGGCGAAAGCCUGACGCAGCGACGCCGCGUGAGGGAUGAAGGUCUUCGGAUCGUAAACCUCUGUCAGCAGAGAAGAACGGUCACUGUGCUAAUCAGCAGUGAAUUGACGGUACCUGCAAAGGAAGCACCGGUUAACUCCGUGCCAGCAGCCGCGGGAAUACGGAGGGUGCGAGCGUUCAUCGGAAUUACUGGGCGUAAAGCGCUCGUAGGCGGUAUGUCAAGUCAAGGGUGAAAUCCCCGCGCUCAACGUGGGAACUGCCUUUGAAACUGGCAGACUGGAGUGUGUGAGAGGAUAGUGGAAUUCCAGGUGUAGGAGUGAAAUCCGUAGAUAUCUGGAGGAACAUCAGUGGCGAAGGCGACUAUCUGGCACAUAACUGACGCUGAGGAGCGAAAGCGUGGGUAGCAAACAGGAUUAGAUACCCUUGUAGUC